UCCAAUACAAAAAAAAAAAAACAAUACAGAAACGACCCGACCCUCUUCAUCUUCUUUGUGAAAAAACCAGCGACACCCAAAACAACCGUGACGCAAGCCCAAUCCAAUGUCGUUUUCUCCCCCUCUCCCUCAUUUCCUCCGCACAUGAGCAGUGCUAGGUUGAGCAAUCUCCUUAAUCGAGUGUCCUUACUAUGAAAUAGAACGAGUCUCCUCUCUUUUCUAGUUGUGAACUCGUACGAUUUAAGUUGUCUUACCCCGAAAUUUGAAUUUUGAAUUCGAAUUUCAAAGUUCAAAAUUCAAUUUGUUUCCCCCUCAAAUGAACCCUUGCAUUCAUCUAUUUAAAGGCUUCACCCUCUUUAUUCUAAAGGUUGGAGAUAGUUAGAGAGAGCUGGCGAAAAAAGAAUUGGAAAAAGGGUGGGAGACAUUUAGUUUGGAGAAAAUAGUCGAGCAGAGGAUACAGAGUUAGGUAGUUGGAAAAGAAAACAAAGAGCUUGAGAAACCAAAACUUAUCCUCCAUAACAGAGAGAUUUUUAGUUCCUUAUACACGGAUUUGAAAUAGUUUUAUUCCUCGAAGCUUGCCGAAGUUCGUCUGUUUGUGGUGGAAUUGUCUCCAGUAGCUAAAAUUUUUAGUUCGCUGUCCGAAAAAAGUCAGCAGAAAUGAGAUACAGGUUCCCGGAGUAUAAACGGGAUUGGAAAUUAAAUUUGUAGGUCUCCAAAAGCACAAAAAGGGGUUGAUAUAUUGUUGUAUACAUUUAUAUACAGUAAUAAAAUACGAUAUACAUGUGAAAAUGAAAAAAAUAAGGGUGAAAGAAGGAGAUUCAAAGCAAAUAAAAUACAGGUUUCGAAAAAUUGAAAUGGGUUCGACGAAGUUAUAUGCGGAAGUAUAUAUGCAAUGUAUACUAGUUUCCUUACAGAAACUGGGCCAAAAGUCUAAGAAAUAUCAGCAGCAAAAUUUGAUGCAAAUGGGCACACUAUCGAUGUUACUACAGGUCCUUGAUAAAUUGGGCCCAAAUAUAUUAUUUGGAUUAUUUUAAGUGUUAGGACAGGGAGUGAGUCACGGCCCAUCAGAUUUGAGAAUUUUGGCAAAUUGACCCAAGUUCAUUUUUCUCUCCCUUUUUCUAUUUGUUUAUUUAUUAUUGUAUUGACUAACCCUUUUUGGUUUAAUUUGAUUAAUUCCCUAA